AGAGUUUGAUCAUGGCUCAGGACGAACGCUGGCGGCACGCUUAGCACAUGCAAGUCGAACGAGAGAAGAGGAGCUUGCUUUUCUGAUCUAGUGGCGGACGGGUGAGUAACACGUGAGCAAUCUGCCUUUCAGAGGGGGAUACCGAUUGGAAACGAUCGUUAAUACCGCAUAACAUAAUUGAACCGCAUGAUUUGAUUAUCAAAGAUUUAUCGCUGAAAGAUGAGCUCGCGUCUGAUUAGCUAGCUGGUAAGGUAACGGCUUACCAAGGCGACGAUCAGUAGCCGGACUGAGAGGUUGAUCGGCCACAUUGGGACUGAGACACGGCCCAGACUCCUACGGGAGGCAGCAGUGGGGAAUAUUGCACAAUGGAGGAAACUCUGAUGCAGCGAUGCCGCGUGAGGGAAGAAGGUUUUAGGAUUGUAAACCUCUGUCUUCAGGGACGAAAAAAGACGGUACCUGAGGAGGAAGCUCCGGCUAACUACGUGCCAGCAGCCGCGGUAAUACGUAGGGAGCGAGCGUUGUCCGGAAUUACUGGGUGUAAAGGGAGCGUAGGCGGGAUCGCAAGUCAGAUGUGAAAACUAUGGGCUUAACCCAUAAACUGCAUUUGAAACUGUGGUUCUUGAGUGAAGUAGAGGUAAGCGGAAUUCCUAGUGUAGCGGUGAAAUGCGUAGAUAUUAGGAGGAACAUCAGUGGCGAAGGCGGCUUACUGGGCUUUAACUGACGCUGAGGCUCGAAAGCGUGGGGAGCAAACAGGAUUAGAUACCCUGGUAGUCCACGCCGUAAACGAUGAUUACUAGGUGUGGGGGGACUGACCCCUUCCGUGCCGCAGCAAACGCAAUAAGUAAUCCACCUGGGGAGUACGACCGCAAGGUUGAAACUCAAAGGAAUUGACGGGGGCCCGCACAAGCAGUGGAGUAUGUGGAUUAAUUCGAAGCAACGCGAAGAACCUUACCAGGUCUUGACAUCGUAUGCAUAGCUCAGAGAUGAGUGAAAUCUCUUCGGAGACAUAUAGACAGGUGGUGCAUGGUUGUCGUCAGCUCGUGUCGUGAGAUGUUGGGUUAAGUCCCGCAACGAGCGCAACCCUUACUGUUAGUUGCUACGCAAGAGCACUCUAGCAGGACUGCCGUUGACAAAACGGAGGAAGGUGGGGAUGACGUCAAAUCAUCAUGCCCCUUAUGACCUGGGCCUCACACGUACUACAAUGGCUGUCAACAGAGGGAAGCAAAGCCGCGAGGUGGAGCGAACCCCUAAAAGCAGUCUUAGUUCGGAUUGUAGGCUGCAACCCGCCUACAUGAAGUCGGAAUUGCUAGUAAUCGCAGAUCAGCAUGCUGCGGUGAAUACGUUCCCGGGCCUUGUACACACCGCCCGUCACGCCAUGGGAGUCGGUAACACCCGAAGCCUGUAGUCUAACCGCAAGGAGGACGCAGUCGAAGGUGGGAUUGAUGACUGGGGCGAAGUCGUAACAAGGUA
rnacentral:rRNA from 1 species